rnacentral:rRNA from 1 species
UAGGUAGGGGUCCUGAGAGGGAGAUCCCCCACACUGGUACUGAGACACGGACCAGACUCCUACGGGAGGCAGCAGUGAGGAAUAUUGGACAAUGGAGGGAACUCUGAUCCAGCCAUGCCGCGUGCAGGAAGACUGCCCUAUGGGUUGUAAACUGCUUUUAUACGGGAAGAAACACCGCUACGUGUAGCGGCUUGACGGUACCGUAANAANAA